GAGAAACCCGCACCCCUUCGCCUGCUUUCCCAAGGCGGCUGUGUGAAGGCAUCUCCCAGCUUUCCCUUAUCCCUGCCAGGUGGGGUGAGGCGCGGGGCGGGGUGCCAGCUCCCGGAGGCGCCCGAGCCCCCGCCCCUCCACCGGCCACGGCCCGCACUCGAGGGCCAGCGCCCGGGACUCCGGGGCUCCCCCGCCUUCCUCCCGCUAAGGGGCACCGGCGCGGGGCUGCGCGCCCACCGAGCGCCCCGCCUGCGUCACCCUCACGCCUCCCGGAGUCCCCAGAUUUGCCCGGGACCCCCUGGGACCCCGGUUCUGCGGCCCACGCGCCACAGCCGGCACCCGGCGCCCGCCCCGGAGGCCAGCGCGCCGCCGGCCCCCCGAGCCCGGGAGAGGCCGGGGCCCCGAGGCUCAGGCGGGCAAGGGAAGGGGGCGCCAGGCCGGGCGGAGGGGCGAGCGUGGGAGCGCGCGGGACCCCAGGGAGGGGCGGCGCCGACAGCCCGCCCUGCGCGGCCGGUGGCUAAGCCCUGCGCCCGGGGCGCGCGGUCGGGGGCGGGAGGCCGGGCUCCUCACCCCGGGGACUGGGGCGGGGUGGCGGCCGGGAGCGGGCACCGGGGCUCCUGGGGGAGGGAACACGGCUCAGGAGUGGGCCAGGACGGGGCGGGAGGCUUCAGGGGUAAGGAAGGGAUACAGGGGCCGGGGGCUGAGCAGUGGCUGCGGCACAGGUGGGAGAGAGAAGGAUCUGCGCGGGGCCAUCCGCGUGAGGGAUGCGGAGGAAGAGGGCCAGUGGGGGGGCGCCCUCGGGUCAGAGCCCCCAAGCUAGGAGGCCUCGGAGGCCGUCACGGCGCCGGCCCCCCGCGGGCUUGGAGACCCUGGGGCGGGUCCCGCGGCGCCCGGCUGCGGGAGGGGCGCAGCUUCUUACUUGAAGGCCCCGCAGGGUCUCGUCGCAGCGCCAGUGCGAGGGCAGCACGCAGCACAGGAGGCUGGGCUGUGGGUGCGCACGAGCUGGGCCGGGUGGUCGGCGAUGACCCCUACCGUGGUGCGGGCGUCCUGCGGCGGCGGCAACCGGGACACCCGGGCCGCUGCCGCCGCCACCGCCACCGCCCCUGCUGCUGUUGCUCCUGCUGCGGCGGCGCAGCCCCCACCGGGCCCACCUCGCCCGUCUUGCCGGGCUGCAGGCCGCUGCACGGAGGGCUGAAGCGCAGGCUGGCGCUCGGAUCCGCGGGAAGACGCAUCCCACCCGCCCCAAGUGAGGGAAGUGGCCGGGGGAGGGAGAGGAGGGUGGAAAGGAGGCGCGAGGAGGAGGAAAUUGGGGGCUUAGAGGCGAGACGGGGGAGAGGGAAUGGAGGUGAUGAGGUGCAGGAGGUGAGAAGUCAAGUUCCAUGGAGCCGACCGCCAGGAGGAGUCUCACGGGCCGUGGCGGCGAUGCGGAGCAGUGGGGUGGGCGGGCUGGGAGGCCCGGGAGGCACAGAGCUCGCCGGAGCCCUGGGAACGCCCGCGGUGGCAGCUGAGAACCGGCGCGGGGAUGCGUGCGGCCCGGGGCGGCGGGGGCUUCAGGUUGCAGCUCGGAGCGGGGUCCCUUGGGGCGCCGCGUGCUGGGUGCAGCCGCGCCCCCUCGCAGGUGAGUCUGGUGGUGGACCGCAGUGGCUUCAGCAGNNNNCGCCUCCGCGGGGCCUCGGCUCCCAGGCGCCGCCGCCCGCUCAGAUUCCCCACGCGCGGCGGCCAGCCCGGCUCCCCGGCUCCGCCCCUUGCCCUCCUGUCUCCUCCGCGGCCUUCUCAGGGCCGCCCCCUGGCACCCACUGCCUCCUGCUAGCGCACAGCGCCCCUGACCCUCGCGGGCCCAGGUGCCAGGACGGGAGUCGCGGGCAGCGGACUUCGGGGCAGCGGCCCUGGAGCCUGCGAGUCGCAGCCGCAGCCGCCGCCGCCCGCCGGCCAGAGCAGGAGCCGGGGCGCAGCGCGCAGCCUCCGCAGCCGGAGAGGCGGCCCCGGCGGAGGAGUGUCGCGGGUCGGCCCUGUCGCUGCUCCCCGACCCAGGACAAGGAACCCCCUCUUGGUCGCCCGAGGUUGAAGCUGAGACGCCAGAGCCGCGCCCUGAACUCACUGUCUUAG
rnacentral:lncRNA from 1 species